AGGAUGAACGCUGGCGGCGUAGCUUAACACAUAGCAAGUCGAACGAAGUCAGUUUAUCUACGAGUCCCUUCGGGGUGACGAUUUACUGACUGAGUGGCGGACGGGUGAGUAACGCGUGGGUAACCUGCCUUGUACAGGGGGACAACAGUUGGAAACGACUGCUAAUACCGCAUAAGCGCACGGUGUUGCAUGACACAGUGUGAAAAGAUUUAUCGGUACAAGAUGGACCCGCGUCUGAUUAGCUAGUUGGUGAGGUAACGGCCCACCAAGGCGACGAUCAGUAGCCGACCUGAGAGGGUGACCGGCCACAUUGGGACUGAGACACGGCCCAAACUCCUACGGGAGGCAGCAGUGGGGAAUAUUGCACAAUGGGCGCAAGCCUGAUGCAGCGACGCCGCGUGAGCGAAGAAGUAUUUCGGUAUGUAAAGCCCUAUCAGCAGGGAAGAAAAUGACGGUACCUGACUAAGAAGCCCCGGCUAACUACGUGCC
rnacentral:rRNA from 1 species